AAAUGAUGAUCUCAACAAUCCGGGAUUAAGUAAAAUGGAAGAGCAAAUGGAAUUUUGAUGAAAGAAGUAAACAACAAACAACUAAGAACUACAUAAGAUAUACAGUACAUCAAAAGCGUGCUGACACAAAGACAGCUCUAAAACAUCUUCUCCAUAAUAGCGGUUGCUCAAAGGUUUCAUUCCAGGAUGAAGUUCCAAAAUGGAAAUUUGAGGGA